GUCUUAUCGCAAUGUGAAUUUACACUCAAAAAUAAGAGAAAACAAACGACACAACGUUAUAAUGUAAUACACACAGAAACGAACUAUAUUAUAACAAUGGCCAUAUUCCAGACUUGGUACAGGGCAUUUUUAAAGGAAAAAAUGGUGGGUUGAACCUGGUUUUGUGGCAUGCCAAACCUCGCACUUUUAUGGCCAUGUGAAAUAUAACAUCAAAAUGACAACACAGGACUACAAUAUAAAUAAAUUGGAGAACACAAUUGACAAAGAAUCACACGAACAACAGCCAACAAAAGGCAACAAGUUCAAAAUUUUAAUACGCCAGAAGUGUAUUUUGUCCACACAAGACCUACUUGUGACGCCCAGAUACAAAAGUUUGAAAGCCGAAACGAGUACAAAGUUGAACAGCAUCGAGGAC
rnacentral:lncRNA from 1 species